ACGGAAGGCAGCAGUGAGGAAUAUUGGUCAAUGGGCGGAAGCCUGAACCAGCCAAGUCGCGUGAAGGAUGAAGGUAUUAUGUAUUGUAAACUUCUUUAGCAGCAGAGUAAUAAGGGGGUCGUGACCCCCGAUGCAAGUAUGCUGAAAAUAAGGAUCGGCUAACUCCGUGCCAGCAGCCGCGGUAAUACGGAGGAUCCGAGCGUUAUCCGGAUUUAUUGGGUUUAAAGGGUGCGCAGGCGGUUUUUUAAGUCAGUGGUUAAAUCGUGAGGCUCAACCUCAUCACGCCAUUGAUACUGGAAGACUUGAUUGCGGUUGAGGUUGGCGGAAUUCGUCGUGUAGCGGUGAAACGCAUAGAUAUGACGAAGAACACCGAUUGCGUAGGCAGCUGACCAAGCCGUAAAUGACGCUCAUGCACGAAAGUGCGGGGAUCGAACAGGAUUAGAUACCCUGGUA
rnacentral:rRNA from 1 species